rnacentral:ncRNA from 2 species
UUAGGUUGACCGGGCGUUGGUUUCCGUCGGUCAGUGACCGGCGGAUCGUAAGAGGGAAUCCGGUGAAGAUCCGGAACUGCCCCGCAGCGGUGAGUGGAAACGAACGCGGUCACCAGCACUGGGUGUAUGCCUGGGAAGCGACCGCCGGUAGGAGACACCGAACGUACGGUGCCAUGUCCACGAGUCCGAAGACCUGCCAACGCGACCGCGCCGCC